UGAGGAAUUUUGCGCAAUGGGGGAAACCCUGACGCAGCAACGCCGCGUGAGUGAUGAAGGCCUUCGGGUCGUAAAACUCUGUCAAGUGGGAAGAAACUACAAAAGGUUAAUACCCUUAUGUAUUGACGGUACCACUGAAGGAAGCACCGGCUAACUCCGUGCCAGCAGCCGCGGUAAUACGGAGGGUGCAAGCGUUAUUCGGAUUUAUUGGGCGUAAAGGGCGCGUAGGCGGUUUUGUAAGUCAGGUGUGAAAUCCCGGGGCUCAACCCCGGAAGUGCAUUUGAUACUGCAAGACUUGAGUAUGGGAGGGGGAAGUGGAAUUCCUGGUGUAGAGGUGAAAUUCGUAGAUAUCAGGAGGAACACCAGUGGCGAAGGCGACUUCCUGGACCAAUACUGACGCUGAUGCGCGAAGGCGUGGGGAGCAAACAGG
rnacentral:rRNA from 1 species